AGGGUUUGAUCAUGGCUCAGAACGUACGCUGGCGGCACGCCUAACACAUGCAAGUCGAACGAAGUAGCAAUACUUAGUGGCAGACGGGUGAGUAACAUGUGGGUAUCUGCCCUUUGGCCUGGAAUAACACGAGGAAACUUGUGCUAAUACCGGAUAAGUCUUUACAGAGAAAGCUUUAUGCACCAUUGGAUGAGCCCGCACUUGAUUAGUUUGUUGGUGGGGUAAUGGCCUACCAAGACUUUGAUCAAUAGCUGAUUUGAGAGGAUGAUCAGCCACAUUGGGACUGAGACACGGCCCAAACUCCUACGGGAGGCAGCAGUGGGGAAUCUUGCACAAUGGAGGAAACUCUGAUGCAGCGAUGCCGCGUGAGUGAAGAAGGCCUUUGGGUUGUAAAGCUCUUUCGUCGGGGAAGAAAAUGACUGUACCCGAAUAAGAAGGUCCGGCUAACUUCGUGCCAGCAGCCGCGGUAAUACGAAGGGACCUAGCGUAGUUCGGAAUUACUGGGCUUAAAGAGUUCGUAGGUGGUUGAAAAAGUUGGUGGUGAAAUCCCAGAGCUUAACUCUGGAACUGCCAUCAAAACUUUUCAGCUAGAGUUUGAUAGAGGAAAGCAGAAUUUCUAGUGUAGAGGUGAAAUUCGUAGAUAUUAGAAAGAAUACCAAUUGCGAAGGCAGCUUUCUGGAUCAUUACUGACACUGAGGAACGAAAGCAUGGGUAGCGAAGAGGAUUAGAUACCCUCGUAGUCCAUGCCGUAAACGAUGUGUGUUAGACGUUGGAAAUUUAUUUUCAGUGUCGCAGCGAAAGCGAUAAACACACCGCCUGGGGAGUACGACCGCAAGGUUAAAACUCAAAUGAAUUGACGGGGACCCGCACAAGUAGUGGAGCAUGUGGUUUAAUUCGAAGAUACGCGCAGAACCUUACCAACACUUGACAUGUUCGUCGCGACUUUAAGAGAUUAAAGUUUUCGGUUCGGCCGGACGAAACACAGGUGCUGCAUGGCUGUCGUCAGCUCGUGUCGUGAGAUGUUGGGUUAAGUCCCGCAACGAGCGCAACCCUCACUUUUAGUUGCCAUCAUUAAGUUGGGCACUCUGAAAGAACUGCCAGUGAUAAGCUGGAGGAAGGUGGGGAUGACGUCAAGUCCUCAUGGCCCUUACGUGUUGGGCUACACACGUGCUACAAUGGUAUCUACAACAGGAAGCGAAACAGCGAUGUUAAGCAAAUCCUUAAAAGAUACCUCAGUUCGGAUUGCACUCUGCAACUCGAGUGCAUGAAGCUGGAAUUACUAGUAAUCGUGGAUCAGCGUGCCACGGUGAAUGCGUUCCCGGGUCUUGUACACACCGCCCGUCACACCAUGGGAGUUGGUUCUACCUUAAGGCAAGGUUUAAUACCCUUGACCACGGUAUAGUCAGCGACUGGGGUGAAGUCGUAACAAGGUAACCGUA
rnacentral:rRNA from 1 species